GGAUCCAUGAUGAUUCCCAGUCAAACAUUCCUUAGAAAAACUGAACAAAAUGAGUGAAAACUCGAUACCGCCACACGCAUCAGGACUGUAGUCU